ACCGUCCUCUUCUUUCGAUGAUGCCUCUGCGAUUUAAAUUUUUUAGAACUGAAAAACUUAUUGAAGCGUCUUACCAGUAGUGCUGUUAGGUAUUAAAAAAAAAAAAAAAAAAAAUUCAACAAGCCAUACCUGUCCACGUGCCCCUUCCCCCUUCUUUUCCUUUUUUCUUCCCUUCCCCCACCGAACCUUGCAACCCCUCCUUCUUCUCUUUUCCUUGCUUCUCGUCAACAGCAGAAAAGGAGAAAUCGCAGCAGCUCCUUUCUCUUCUCCGGUGGUGACGAAGGGUAGAUCCCUUCCCUUUCUUCUUCUCCAGAUUUGCGACCCUCUUCUCUCUUUUUCUCUUUUCCGACGGCAACAAGCUUCCUCUUCCUUGCUGCUGUCCUGCUUCUCGGCAACAUCGUCGGAGCUCCUCGGAGUGUGCCGGAGCUCGCCGGACCACUAGGAAAGGGGGGAAAAACAAAGCCCUAGUUGCUCUCUCCUUUUCCCCUCCAACAGCAGCACCUUGCUGCCUUUUGUUUCCUCCAACAGCAGCCCUAGCUGCUGCCCUUUUCUUGGCAGCACUGCCGGAGCUCGCCGGAGCUAGCUGAGGCGGCCAACGACGAAGGGAAAAUAACCCUAGUUGCUGUCCUCAUUUCCAGCAGCCACACAAAACCCUUAGAAGAUCCGAGCUCGAGUGGAGCACGGUGACCUGUCGAUACUCGGAGAUUUUUGCUGUAUAUAAGUUUUGCAGACACAGGGAUCCUUUUGAUAUUACUGUUGAUUUUGGACUUUCAU